GGAGCAACGCCGCGUGAGUGAAGAAGGGUUUCGGCUCGUAAAGCUCUGUUGGUAGUGAAGAAAGAUAGAGGUAGUAACUGGCCUUUAUUUGACGGUAAUUACUUAGAAAGUCACGGCUAACUACGUGCCAGCAGCCGCGGUAAUACGUAGGUGGCAAGCGUUGUCCGGAUUUAUUGGGCGUAAAGCGAGUGCAGGCGGUUCAAUAAGUCUGAUGUGAAAGCCUUCGGCUCAACCGGAGAAUUGCAUCAGAAACUGUUGAACUUGAGUGCAGAAGAGGAGAGUGGAACUCCAUGUGUAGCGGUGGAAUGCGUAGAUAUAUGGAAGAACACCAGUGGCGAAGGCGGCUCUCUGGUCUGCAACUGACGCUGAGGCUCGAAAGCAUGGGUAGCGAACAGGAUUAGAUACCCUGGUAGUCCAUGCCGUAAACGAUGAGUGCUAAGCGUUGGGAGGUUUCCGCCUCUCAGUGCUGCAGCUAACGCAUUAAGCACUCCGCCUGGGGAGUACGACCGCAAGGUUGAAACUCAAAGGAAUUGACGGGGGCCCGCACAAGCGGUGGAGCAUGUGGUUUAAUUCGAAGCAACGCGAAGAACCUUACCAGGUCUUGACAUUC
rnacentral:rRNA from 1 species